rnacentral:lncRNA from 1 species
GUUAAAACGGUUCGACAGUUUAACCCCUCGAGGCAAUAGUGCCUCCAGGGACAUCCUGGCACCAUAACAACUACAUUUAGAAGUUGUCCCUUAAAUAAAGAAUAGACUUACUACACUUAUAAUACCAAGAAGGCUAAUUUUCAUGGAGUGCCCAACUUUAACAGACCCCAGUAGGUUGUCCAAGUUGCAUUGGGCAUCCUGCAUCUAACAUGCCAUUAGUAAGUAGCAGAUUUUAAGAUUUUUCUCCAUGAACUGCCAUUUAACAAUUUGGUCAUAGUCAGAAAAAUUUAGCCCUGAGGUUUGAGAAUCAGAAAUCCCUUUCUCCUCUGCUUGAUCUGAUUACACACACAGACAUAAAAAACAAAACAAGAAACAACACAACAGAAACGAUACAUUGUCUCCCAAUAAUUUAUUAUUUUUCUGUUUUUGGUGUUCAACUUGUGGGAAAUGUUAAAUUCGAUACUGAUUUUCACAGUGUGAUUUUAUUACACAAAAAUAAACACAAGAAACCCGACACAAUAAAAAAUGGGGAUUGACAAUAUGAAAAAAAAUACAACAGAGCAUAAAAUUAUACUUUGUCAGAAAUACACAGUAUAUAUGUCAGAGAAGAUGAAGGAGCCCUAAUGAAAAGCAGCAAAUUAAAACACAAAACAUAGAUUAUCAUAACAAUCUUUCUAGGAGACAAAGUUUAAAGGUCUCAUUCAGACCUGCUUGGAAUGGUAAGGGAUAAGGUAACGGUUUGAUUGAGACACUGCCCCUAUGGGUAACUUUGUUUGGGCUCAAUUUAAAAGAGAGAGAAUUGCAUGUUAAUCUAGAACUAUCCCUCUGUUAUCCUGGAAGUUAAAAACAUCCACAAUCUAAUGCCAGUUUUAGAGUUUAGCUGACUGCACUCAAAGUGCAAAUAAUUGAGAAUUCAGAAUCAAUUUCACAUUUUAGGUCAAAACAGCCAAAUUGCAAGUAAAUGUCUCAAAAUCAGCUAAGCUUUCAAUUUGACACUUUUUUUCGCAAUAAUUUGAGCUUAGCUUACAAUUCCAGACAAAUCACACUUAAGUAAAUAACACAAUGAGCGAGAAUAUGUGGUAAUCAAAUCCACAGUAGAUUCAAGCUGCAGUUGCAAUUUGUCCCAAAAUAUACAGGUAGAUCAUUGGUGGAAUUCGGUGAACAUGUUUAAAAACCCAUAGUAAAGGGGCACUAAGCACUAUACCACUGAGCUCUCCUGGUGGUCUCCCCAGUACCCGAAGUCCAAGCGCCACAUUAAACAUAUUGCUUUUGCAUACGUUUUAGGUUAGCACUGGCAAUGUCGUCCAAGUCUAGAAGGCAUCCAUUGGCCUGGAGUGUUACAGGUGAUGUGCCCAGACAAUGAAUGCUGUUCAGAUACGGACAAAACUGAUAUGCAGAGCGGCUACUAAGUAGGAAGCUGGACUGUGGGUGCAUGCGGAAGGCUUGGUUUUUGAUGGGCUGCAAGAAAUGGUUUGACACAGAACCUGGGGAUGGUGACAGUAGAAUUCUCUGCUUAGUGGUUAUAGUGCUUAGAGUGCCCCUUUAUAAGAAAUAAAAUAGUCUGUAUGAAGGCCUCCACAACCUGGGCUGACCUGAUACAGCAACAUUUACAUAACUCUUAGGGUUAUGAGGAUUAAAGAAUAAUCUACUGAAAUAUGUGACAAAGGCAAGUCAGCAUUAAGAUUUAAAUUCAAAAAAGUUUUAAAAAUGUGAGUUUCCAUGGUAACUGCUUCAUUGUCACAACUUUGCCCAGAAUACAAAACAUCGGGCACAUUAGAUUGAAAGACUGCUGAACUCAGCAACUGAAUUCAGUAGCGCCUGGAUAGAAACAGCAGUUCAAUUUUGUCUUCUGAACCGCGUUUUGUGUGUGGGAAGAGUAGAGAACAAAACAAGAAAAAAAACUUAGGCAAAGUAUAAUAUUUGGAAAACAAUCUCUGACUAUAUUAUACACCAGCUUGGGAACUUUUGUAAACAGAUAAGGGAGUCUCAAAUAUUCGCAGAAAUAGCAGAACUGAACAAAUACUCAAAAUCAGCUAUUUUAUUUCCUUAUGGAUCAUUAUGGGUCUAACUCUUCCACUCUUUGUUCACUCUCUAAAAAUUAAACUGCUUAUAUUUUUACAUUCAAAAUGACAGAGUCUUGCAGACCAUUUCAGUUAUAAAAUGUACAACUUCUUUCUCGUGUCCAUUAGUGCAAUGUAUGUUCCCAAGAAGUAUGCAAGAACCCAAAUUCUAUAAAUGACCAAUAAGGGAACAUUGGUACUUGACCACUAAGAGAAACCGAUGCCACUAAUGGACAUUUUGCAGCUGACUAUGAAAAAAAACCAAAACGUUAUUUACAAAACUAGGAAUUGUUGAUGAAUGGCAAGGGAACUGCAAACCAAAAAUUGGGUUUGAUAACUCCUGGUUUAAUAAAUAAAUGCCAAUAGUGUUGUAAAAUCAGUUCUCUUAUCUUAAACAGUUCUAAAAAGGUUUUAGGACAUCUGUCAUCAUUAUAUGAAGCUGAUUAUUUUUGUCCUGUUUACUAGUUUGAAAACCAUUUUCUAGAAUGACUUGUUCGAAGUCAGGUUUAUUCUUAAAAUAACUUGACAUUUCAUUAUGGUUUAAAAAGAAAAUCCCCUUCUACAUUCAUAAUUACCAAGAUUACUGCUAUGUUGAGCAUGACCAAAGACACACUGUUUUAAAUUGAUAGACGUGGUUGUAGAUAUGCAAAUCUGCUUCUAAUAUGCUUCUUAGAUUGAUUGAAUCUUCUAUCAUUCCUGAAGGCAUCAGUUUAAUACCAAGCAGGCACUGAUCCCAAGGUAGAGAAAAGUUCAUCUUAAAUAUUUGUCCUGCUAAAAAAUAAAAAAAAAAGUCGGCUACACAUUACAAAGCUAUUCUGUUUUUGAGAAACAGAACAACUUUGUAAUGUGUAGCCGACUAAGCUUACAGAUAUAUAAAAUGUGUCCAUGGCACAUUUAAGGACACCUAUCUCUAAAUUCAAACAACUGAUUGAAUUUUGCCAAUGGGCAUAUUAAUAAAAUAAAAGUAAACUAUAGAAAGCAUUUGUUAUGAUCCAUCAAUGCAGAAAGUGUCACAGGAGAAAUGGGCUCAAAGUUAAAACAUAUCUGCAAAAAGUUUACAAAGUCAUGCGCCCCUUUAAGAAUAACCUAUACCUUUAGUUAAUAAUUUUAAAAUUUGGAUAAAGUAAGUAUAGCCAGCUAAUCUGGAUUUCAUGUGAUUGUUUUUCUUUUUUGACCUUUUCAAACGAACAUAUACUUGAAAUGAAUUAUUUCAGCUCAGGAUAUCCCAAAUUCUGAUUGGCUGCUGGCAUGAUAGGCUAACAUCAAACAUUUCUUUUGAACAAAAACUGCCCUUGAGUGGAUCAUCUAGCAGACAGUAUAGGCUAAAGCGGGUUUAAACAUUAAAGGGACACUAUAGUCACCAGAACAACUACAGCUUAAUGUAUUUGUUCUGGUGAGAAGAAUCAUUACCUUCAGGCUUUUUGCUGUAAACACUGUCUUUUCAGAGAAAAUGCAGUGUUUACAUUACAGCCUAGUGAUAACUCCACUGGCCACUGCUCAUAUGGCUACUAAAGGUGCUUCCUGGGGCAGUCCUGCCUAGUGUGCAGCAUUGCCAUUCAGUGUCUCCACCCUCUGCAUGUAGACGCUGCUCUUUACUCAUAGAGAUGUGUUGAUUAAAUUCAUCUCUAUGAGGAGAUGCUGAUUGGCCAGGGCUAUGUUUGACCUGUGCUGGCUGUGCCCCUGACCUGCAUCCUUGACAGUCUCAACCAAUCCUAUGGGGAAGCAUUGUGAUUGGCUCAGACCACCAUUUCUGAUGAUGUCAGCAGACAGAGUUAGUUCACAGGCAGAGUCAGCAGCUACAGAUUUGAAUACAAGUAAGAUUUUACUAUAUUUAGGGAGGGUAAGGGGUGGCCAGGGGGGCUAGUUGGUGAUUUUAACACAAUAGGGUCAGAAAUACAUGUUUGUGUUCCUUUAAUGAUUGAAAUGUGAUUUGUUGCAGGCAUAGCUUUUAGGUGCAUAGUAUGCUAUAAUAUACAAUAUAAUCUUGCAAUGAUUGUCGAUAUAUCAUACAUGCACUCACCUCCUCAAGAAGAAUUACUUACAGUCAGAAUCCUACCUACAUUUUGUACAUGAAGCAAUUCUGAGUCCAAAAAGGGGGGAGGGGGAUUAAUAGAUACAGUUUUAUUAAUAGCAGCAUUAUAAUCCGAACUAUCACGAAAAAUACAAUCAUUACCGAUAGAACGUAAUGUAAGUUUGUAAAGUAAACACAAGUUUAUAUCGUUUAAAACAAGAAUACUAACUAAGGAUUAUAAACUCAGGUAUGACAUUAUUUUCAGAACAGCCUUCCUUAUACAAAAAAUAUAUAUGCUUGGGUGUUUAAAUUUAGAUCUAUGCUUAUAUGUACACAGGUUUGUUUAUAUAUAUAUUUAGUAA